AUUCUUUCAUAGUUCGUAAGCGUGAUGAUUGGGUUUUCAUGUGCAUGCAUGAGAUGUGCCUCCCAUAAAUCUUGUUACGACGUCAGCACAUUACCCAUCUGACA
ensembl:snoRNA